rnacentral:misc_RNA from 1 species
CGGAAAGAUCACGGCUGCUACUUGUUUGAAAGGCCAAUGGGGGACUCAGGUGAAAAUUCACAGAUUGCUUCUACAGUCGAGAUUUCGGACAAGAAAGAAAGAAGAGGCAGAUUUUUUCUUUGUGCCAGCUUAUGUAAAAUGUGUUCGGAUGCUCGGUGGUCUCAGUGACAAGGAGAUUAAUGAAGCAUAUAUACAGGUUUUAGGUCAAAUGCCGUAUUUCAG